UGGGGAAUAUUGGACAAUGGGCGAAAGCCUGAUCCAGCCAUGCCGCGUGUGUGAAGAAGGCCUUUUGGUUGUAAAGCACUUUAAGCGAGGAGGAGGCUACUUGGAUUAAUACUCUAGGAUAGUGGACGUUACUCGCAGAAUAAGCACCGGCUAACUCUGUGCCAGCAGCCGCGGUAAUACAGAGGGUGCGAGCGUUAAUCGGAUUUACUGGGCGUAAAGCGUGCGUAGGCGGCUUCUUAAGUCGGAUGUGAAAUCCCUGAGCUUAACUUAGGAAUUGCAUUAGAUACUGGGAAGCUAGAGUAUGGGAGAGGAUGGUAGAAUUCCAGGUGUAGCGGUGAAAUGCGUAGAGAUCUGGAGAAAUAACGAUGGCGAAGGCAGCCAUCUGGCCUAAUACUGACGCUGAGGUAAGAAAGCAUGGGGAGCAAACAAG
rnacentral:rRNA from 1 species